rnacentral:rRNA from 1 species
UUGUCUUUUAAAUGAAGACCUGUAUGAAUGGCAUGACGAGGGCUUAACUGUCUCCUUUUUCCAGUCAAUGAAAUUGAUCUUCCCGUGCAGAAGCGGGAAUACACCCAUAAGACGAGAAGACCCUAUGGAGCUUUAGACGCCAGAGCAGACUAUGUUAAACACCCCAGCAUAAAGGACAAAACUAAUUAGCCCCUGCUCUAAUGUCUUUGGUUGGGGCGACCACGGGGAAACAAGAAACCCCCACAUGGACUAAGAGCACGCCACUCUCACAACCCCGAGUCACAACUCAAAGUACCAGAACUUCUGACCAAUAAGAUCCGGCACUAGCCGAUCAGUGGACCAAGUUACCCUAGGGAUAACAGCGCAAUCCUCUUUUAGAGCCCAUAUCGACAAGAGGGUUUACGACCUCGAUGUUGGAUCAGGACAUCCUAGU